GGGGUUAAUUUAAUAAAAUUAAAAAAUAAGAAAAAAAAUUUUAAUAUAAUAUAUUUAAUGGGGGUUAAAGUAUUUUUAUAGAAAAAAUUUUAAAAUUUAUAGUGGAAUAGUAUUGUAAAAGAAAAAUUUAAAAUGUUGAAAUAGAAAUUUAUUUAAAAGUAAAUUUAAUUUAUUGUAUCUUGUGUAUCAGAGUUUUUUAAAUAAAUAAAUUUGGGGGAAUUUAUUUCGAAAUUAAAAGAGUUAAUUAAUUAAGAAAGUUAAUAUUGCAUAAUUAUUUUUAAUAAUUAAUUGGAAAUGAAAAGUUAAUCGUUUUUAAUGAUAUCUAAUUUUUUUAGAAAAAAGUUUAAUUUUAAAUAAUUUUUUUUAAAAACUAAUUAAUUAGUUUUUAAAAAAUUUAAUUUUAUAUUUUAGGGGAUAAGCUUUAAAUUAAAAUUUUAUAAUAAAAAUAAUAAAAUUGAAAUUUUUAAAAUUUAUAUUUUUUAAAAAUUAUAGUUUAUUAUAAAUAAUUUCAUUUAAUUAAAAUUUUAUUUUAAUUUAAAUUUUUAUAAAAAAAUAUUUUUUAAUAAAAUAAAAAUAGGUAUAAUGAUAAAAUUAGUAUAUAAUUUAAUAAUUAAUAUAAAAAUUAUUUAAAUUAAUAAAAAGGAAUUCGGCAAAAAU
rnacentral:rRNA from 1 species